GAUGAACGCUGGCGGCGUGCCUAAUACAUGCAAGUCGAGCGAACGGACGAGAAACUUGCUUCUCUGAUGUUAGCGGCGGACGGGUGAGUAACACGUGGAUAACCUACCUAUAAGACUGGGAUAACUUCGGGAAACCGGAGCUAAUACCGGAUGAUAUUUUGAACCGCAUGGUUCAAAAGUGAAAGACGGUCUUGCUGUCACUUAUAGAUGGAUCCGCGCUGCAUUAGCUAGUUGGUAAGGUAACGGCUUACCAAGGCAACGAUGCAUAGCCGACCUGAGAGGGUGAUCGGCCACACUGGAACUGAGACACGGUCCAGACUCCUACGGGAGGCAGCAGUAGGGAAUCUUCCGCAAUGGGCGAAAGCCUGACGGAGCAACGCCGCGUGAGUGAUGAAGGUCUUCGGAUCGUAAAACUCUGUUAUUAGGGAAGAACAUAUGUGUAAGUAACUGUGCACAUCUUGACGGUACCUAAUCAGAAAGCCACGGCUAACUACGUG
rnacentral:rRNA from 1 species